rnacentral:rRNA from 1 species
UAAGUUAGUAGUGAAUCGUGUGGCUCAACCAUACUCACAUUACUAAACUACUCAGCUUGAAGAUGAGAGAGGUCACUGGAAUUCCCUGUGUAGGAGUGAAAUCCGUAGAUAUAGGGAGGAACACCGAUGGCGUAGGCAGGUGACUGGCUCAUUCUUGACACUAAGGCACGAAAGCGUGGGGAGCAAACGGGAUUAGAUACCCCGGUAGUCCACGCUGUAAACGAUGGAUGCUA